UAUAGGAUUUAUGCCUCAAGAGAAGGUAACCACAAAUGACCAUUUUAAAAUACAAAAGAUGAUUAGAGGCCACACACAACCCUUAAAAGAGAAAUCUUGUCCAAGGUUGCCAACACCAAAAGACAAACAACAAUGGCAACCUAGUAAAAUUAAUUUGCAAACUAACACCUAUGCUUUAUUUGAUUAUUUCUAUAGGUGGACGUUUGAUCCAGGAGGACAAGUUUUGAAGAAACAAGAUGCUGCUAUCCGAGAUCAAGCCUGAAGAUCUGAGGAUAGAUCUUCUCAAAAGAAGGAGGAGAUGAUGGACACCAUCCAGCCACAACCAUUCCCCUAAGCAAAAGCAUUGGAUUUGAGGACAAAUCCUUUUCAAGAGGGAGGGGAUGAUGGAAGAGGGCCCAAGCUCACCA
rnacentral:lncRNA from 1 species